GGGAAAGAUUCAUCGGUAUGGGAUGGGGUCGCGUCCUAUCAGCUNGAUGGCGGGGUAACGGCCCACCANGNCUUCGACGGGUAGCCGGCCUGAGAGGGCGACCGGCCACAUUGGGACUGAGAUACGGCCCAGACUCCUACGGGAGGCAGCAGUGGGGAAUAUUGCACAAUGGGCGCAAGCCUGAUGCAGCGACGCCGCGUGCGGGAUGACGGCCUUCGGGUUGUAAACCGCUUUUGACUGGGAGCAAGCCCUUCGGGGUGAGUGUACCUUUCGAAUAAGCACCGGCUAACUACGUGCCAGCAGCCGCGGUAAUACGUAGGGUGCAAGCGUUAUCCGGAAUUAUUGGGCGUAAAGGGCUCGUAGGCGGUUCGUCGCGUCCGGUGUGAAAGUCCAUCGCUUAACGGUGGAU
rnacentral:rRNA from 1 species